AGUGAACGCUGGCGGUAGGCCUAACACAUGCAAGUCGAACGGCAGCACAGUAAGAGCUUGCUCUUACGGGUGGCGAGUGGCGGACGGGUGAGGAAUACAUCGGAAUCUACUUUUUCGUGGGGGAUAACGUAGGGAAACUUACGCUAAUACCGCAUACGACCUACGGGUGAAAGCAGGGGAACUUCGGACCUUGCGCGAUUGAAUGAGCCGAUGUCGGAUUAGCUAGUUGGCGGGGUAAAGGCCCACCAAGGCGACGAUCCGUAGCUGGUCUGAGAGGAUGAUCAGCCACACUGGAACUGAGACACGGUCCCGACUCCUACGGGAGGCAGCAGUGGGGAAUCUUGGACAAUGGGCGCAAGCCUGAUCCAGCCAUCCCGCGUGGGUGAAGAAGGCCUUCGGGUUGUAAAGCCCUUUUGUUGGGAAAGAAAAGCAGCAGGUUAAUCCCCCGCUGUUCUGACGGUACCCAAAGAAUAAGCACCGGCUAACUUCGUG
rnacentral:rRNA from 1 species